CGGGGACUUAUCGGUUGAAGGCAUUAGAUGGGUCAGUAAUUAAAAAUACUUGGCACGCUGGCAGGCUUAGGAAGUACUUUCAGUAGAUUCAAUAUCAGUACAUCGGAAGUCUGUAAAUAUUUACAUCAUCAUCAAUAAAAGUUCCUCUUUUCUCUCAAAACAAAUUUUGUCUCUGUUGCUGCUCAGUUCAUUGGUGUUAGGAGGAUCGGGAGGACUCGCUGACCAUUCGAUGGUAGCCUUUUCGGCAGGUGAUCACUUUGGCAUUGUAAGGCCCUUCGGGGUAGGCAAUUGUCGCCACUUUUGGCAUUGUCAGGCCCUUCGGGGUAGGCAAUUGUCGCCACUUAGACCUUGUCAGGCCCUUCGUGGUAGGCAAGUGUCAUCUUCAAGACGUUGUCAGGCCCUGCGUGGUAGGCAAUUGUCGACACUUAGACUUCGUCAGGCCCUUCGUGGUAGGCGAAUGUCAUCUUUUAA
rnacentral:lncRNA from 1 species